rnacentral:rRNA from 1 species
AGAGUUUGAUCCUAGCUCAGGAUGAAUGCUGGCGGCGUGGAUGAGGCAUGCAAGUCGAAUGGGUUUAGGCCCAUGGCAGACGAGGUAGGAACACGUAGGUACGUACCCAAGAGUCAGGGAUAACCCGUCGAAAGGCGGUACAAUACUUGAUGGUCCCUUCGGGGUAAAGAUUUAUCGCUCUUGGAACGGCCUGCGGGCUAUCAGCUUGUUGGUAAGGUAACGGCUUACCAAGGCUACGACGGCUAGGGGAGGUGAGAGCCUGACCCCCACCGAUGGAACUGCGACACGGUCCAUACUCCUACGGGAGGCUGCAGUCGAGAAUCUUCCGCAAUGGACGAAAGUCUGACGGAGCGACGCCGCGUGGUGGAUGAAGUCCCUCGGGACGUAAACACCUUUUAUGAGGGAGGAAGUUUAUUGACGUUACCUCAUGAAUAAGGGGCUCCCAACUCUGUGCCAGCAGGAGCGGUAAUACAGAGGCCCCAAGCAUUAUCCGGAUUUACUGGGCGUAAAGGGUGCGUAGGCGGUUAUAUUAGUCGGGUGUUAAAUCCCAGGGCCCAACCCUGGAAUCGCAUCCGAAACGGUAUAACUAGAAUCAGUCAGAGGCAAGCAGAACUCUCGGUGUAGGGGUGAAAUCCGUUGAUAUCGAGGGGAAUACCAAAUGCGAAGGCAGCUUGCUGGGACUUGAUUGACGCUGAGGCACGAAAGCGUGGGUAGCGAAGCGGAUUAGAUACCCGCGUAGUCCACGCCCUAAACGCUGUCUGUUGGCUAUAGGGAGUAUCGACCCUCUCUGUGGCGAAGUUAACACGUUAAACAGACCGCCUGGGUAGUACGAUCGCAAGAUUAAAACUCAAAGGAAUAGACGGGGACUCG